GCAAGUCGAACGAGGUCCAUGGGAGCUUGCUCCAAGAAGACCUAGUGGCGAACGGGUGCGUAACACGUGAGAAAUCAGUCCCCGACAGGGGGAUAACAGUUGGAAACGACUGCUAAUACCCUAUAUCGCCGGUGGAUCGCAUGAUCCGCCGAUGAAAGUUCCGGCGGUCGGGGAGGGUCUCGCGGCCUAUCAGCUAGUUGGAGAGGUAACGGCUCACCAAGACAUCGACGGAUAGCUGGUCUGAGAGGAUGAUC
rnacentral:rRNA from 1 species